AUAUCCCAAGCUAGAUCUUGGGGGAGGAGCCUGUGCAGGCAAAGGAGAAGUCAGCUCCGGAAGCAGCUGUCAAUCAAGUACAAUCCUUCCAGCGCUAGCAUCUUGGGAGAAGACACUGCUUCCCAAGUCUUUACACCUUUGAGAUGGCACCAGAGACAUCACGCGGGAAGAACUUCUUUGAGAUUCUUCAACAGAGACCUCUGGGCCUUUGCUCUUGCUGUUGCUGGCGCCUGGAACACGCACAAUGGGUCCUGGUCAAUUGCCGCGCUUGUGUCUCCUGGGUCGCCACGUAGUGACGCUUCUCCAGAGACGCACUCCCUGAAAUGGGUUGGAUCUGCUGCCACGGCUUCACAAAACAUUCUUGACCGGCUCCUUUUCUAACGCAUCGCAUGUUUGUGGUGACCAG
rnacentral:lncRNA from 1 species